UACGUAGGGCGCAAGCGUUGUCCGGAAUUAUUGGGCGUAAAGAGCUCGUAGGCGGCCUGUUGCGUCCGCUGUGAAAUCCCGGGGCUCAACCCCGGGCCUGCAGUGGAUACGGGCUGGCUAGAGGCAGGCAGGGGAGAACGGAAUUCCUGGUGUAGCGGUGAAAUGCGCAGAUAUCAGGAGGAACACCGGUGGCGAAGGCAGCUCGCUGGGACGGUACUGACGCUGAGGCGCGAAAGCGUGGGGAGCAAACAGG
rnacentral:rRNA from 1 species